rnacentral:rRNA from 1 species
AUUGAACGCUGGCGGCAUGCUUUACACAUGCAAGUCGAACGGUAACAGGUUAAGCUGACGAGUGGCGAACGGGUGAGUAAUGCAUCGGAACGUGCCCGAUCGUGGGGGAUAACGCAGCGAAAGCUGCGCUAAUACCGCAUACGAUCUGAGGAUGAAAGCGGGGGACCGUAAGGCCUCGCGCGAUCGGAGCGGCCGAUGGCAGAUUAGGUAGUUGGUGGGGUAAAGGCUCACCAAGCCAACGAUCUGUAGGUGGUCUGAGAGGACGACCAGCCACACUGGGACUGAGACACGGCCCAGACUCCGACGGGAGGCAGCAGUGGGGAAUUUUGGACAAUGGGCGAAAGCCUGAUCCAGCAAUGCCGCGUGCAGGAAGAAGGCCUUCGGGUUGUAAACUGCUUUUGUACGGAGCGAAAAGGCCCUCUCUAAUACAGUGGGCUCAUGACGGUACCGUAAGAAUAAGCACCGGCUAACUACGUGCCAGCCGCCGCCGUAAAAC